rnacentral:rRNA from 1 species
GACGAACGCUGGCGGCGUGCCUAAUACAUGCAAGUCGAGCGGACCAAAGGGAGCUUGCUCCUGGAGGUUAGCGGCGAACGGGUGAGUAACACGUGGGCAACCUGCCUGUAAGACUGGGAUAACAUCGAGAAAUCGGUGCUAAUACCGGAUAAUAAAAAGAACUGCAUGGUUCUUUUUGAAGAUGGUUUCGGCUAUCACUUACAGAUGGCCGCGGCGCAUUAGCUAGUUGGUGAGGUAACGGCUCACCAAGGCGACGAUGCGUAGCCGACCUGAGAGGGUGAUCGGCCACACUGGGACUGAGACACGGCCCAGACUCCUACGGGAGGCAGCAGUAGGGAAUCUUCCGCAAUGGACGAAAGUCUGACGGAGCAACGCGCGUGAGUGAUGAAGGUUUUCGGAUCGUAAAACUCUGUUGUUAGGGAAGAACAAGUGCCGUUCGAAAGGGCGGCACCUUGACGGUACCUAACGAGAAAGCCACGGCUAACUACGUGCCAGCAGCCGCGGUAA